UGAUUAGUAGAUGGAACUCUGGGCUUACAUGGCGUGGAGUUUAAUGUCGACGGGACAACCUGUAAACAUGAUACUUCACUAGUGUAAUUUCUUAUUAAUGUGAUACUACAGGCUGUAUGCAUUCAGAAAAAGAGGCAAGAAAAAUUGUAACAUUCUAAUGCAGACAUACUUGUUGGGAUGUAAUAAUGCUGCUCUUAAGGUGGGGAUGGGUCAUUCAAAUGACGGCAAUAUCCAUUGUUAUCAAUCCGUUGCAAGACUUACUAAGUUAUAUGGUGAUGAUUCAAAUUGAGAGAAAGGACUAGGUGUCCCACCUUUCCAUAAGGCUAGAACAAGUGUUUUGUCACUUUCUGUGAGUGUAGGAUUGGUCUGAGUAUAAGCACCACCAAGGGUUUCAGUGUGGGAGAUGAGAACCAUCCAUGCUAUUCAUAUAAACCUUUCUUAAGAGGAAAAUUUCAAAGUAACAUGAAUAGACUGAUUAAUCCAACCCAACUUUUGGUAAGCAGUACCCAAUUCAUGUGGGGUAUAUUUCAUUAGCUUCUGUCCAAUGGGUAAAUAUUCCCUCAGAGUCGAAUAUUGGUUUGGAAAAAUAGUCUACUUUUGCUGAGCUCUCCCAACAGAGCUAUCAACAAUUGGCAAUUAGGAUGGGCUUUUGGGGCGUACCUUAUCUAACAAACUUUUGAUGGGACUGUUGGAGACUGAGCAGAAGCAGAGCAAGAUGGUGGGUGUUGGCUUGGAGGGCCUCCCAACCACCCUCAUUAACGAAAUAAUAGUGAAGCUGGACACGGAGACACUCUGCUCUGUAGCUUGCGUCUCCCGAGCUCUUCGCUUCGCCGUCUCUGAAGCUCUUCCUCUUUCUUCUUCUCUUGAUCUCUCUGCAUUUUCCCCAGAUGCCCAGACCCUGAAUCACCUUGUUUCCCGGUGCAAAGGCCUCAAGAUUCUCACCCUUGAUUGCCUCCGCCUGGAUGAUUCUUCCAUCACCAUUUUUCUUGGUCCACAUAUCCAGGAAUUGAAUUUGUUGAGAUGUUCCUUGCUGUCAUAUCAACUUCUUCGUUCCAUUGGCGAAAGCUUGCCCAAUUUAAGGUUGCUCACACUAGAACUGUCAUACUGGGACUUGCCUGAAGUGUUCAACAGGAAUCUUGUACAAAUGCUUACGGGUUGCUCUUACUUGGAGUCUCUAUGUCUAAAGAUUCGAGGGGCAGAAUUUGAUGCCACUUUUUUCCGGUCCAUUCAACAUUUCCUGCCCAAAACUGUUAAAAUCUUGAAGUUGCAGCCAGUGCUUGAACAAGAUGUGAUUCGUUUUAUACAUGAGCUCAGAGUUAACCGGAAUAUUUUGGAUACAGCUGAAUUUGGAAUUCCCUUCUCUCCAGCAUCCCCUGGUUUCAAAUUGCAGUCCUUAUCUCUUGUCUUAGAUAUCAUAUCCGAUGAACUUAUUAGUUCCAUCACCGACUCUCUUCCGUUUCUGAUUGAGCUUCAUCUUGAAGAUAGACCAAGCAAAGAACCAUCACCAUUCCAUGAUUUGACUAACAGUGGGCUUCAGUCUUUGAGGUUUUGUCGUCAUUUAACUGACAUCUCUCUUAUACGAAGUAGACACAACCUCCCAGUAUAUUUCAAAAGGAUAAAUGAUAUGGGCAUGUUUCUCCUUUCUGAGGGCUGCAGGCUCCUAGAGUCGGUGAGACUUGGUGGGUUUUGUAGAGUUAGUGAUGCUGGUUUUGCAUCAAUUCUGCACUCUUGUUGGCACCUAAAAAAAUUUGAAGUUCGUAAUGCCUUACUUCUGUCUGAUCUGGCCUUCCAUGAUCUCACUGGAGCCCCCUGUUCCCUGGUUGAGGUGAAAUUGUCAUCCUGUAAUCUUAUAACUAGUGAAACCGUUCAUAAAAUGGCCUCUUCCAGAAGGUUGGAGGUGCUUGACCUCUUUGGCUGCAAGAGCAUAGCUGACUCAUCUCUCAGCUCCAUUACAUGUCUUAAUAAACUAACUACAUUGAAUCUUGGAGGUGCUGAUGUUACAGACAGAGGUUUAUCUGUUCUCAGUCAGGGGUAUUCACCCAUUUCACAUUUGUGCCUUCGAGGCUGUAAGAGGGUAACUGACAAAGGGGUUUCUCUUUUGUUUCAUGGCUGUGGAGUGAUUAGUAAAACAUUGACAGCACUGGAUUUAGGCCACAUGCCAGGGAUAUCAGAUAAAGCCAUUCUCACAAUUGCUGCAGUUGGUACAGGGAUUACUGAAUUGUGCAUUAGGUAUUGUUUCUAUGUGACUGAUUCUUCAGUGGAAGCAUUGGCCACAAAAAGAAGGCUUCAGGAUGGAAGGAAACCACUUCGGAAGCUAGAUCUCUUUCACUGCACUGGGUUGUCUGUUAAAUCAUUAGAGUCAUUGAAGAGGCCUUUCUUUCAAGCUCUAAAGUGGAUUGGUCUUGGACGCACUUGUUUGAGUGGUAAAGCAAAUGAAAUCUUGAAUGAACGCCCCUGGCUGACUCUCUGUUUGGAUGGCUGUGAAAUGGGAUGUCAUGAUGGGUGGCACUUCCAUAGACCAGAGACCAGAGACCAUUAAAGUUGGAUCUUGAUCAUUUUUAAGUGCUCGCCAGCUUCCUUAACCAGGGUCUAGAUAUUCAUGGGCUGUACUGAUGAACCUUAAACUAGGUUCUCUAUGUGGUCUAAGACUACCUUAGAGGAGCCAAUCGAGAUUGAAACUGACAGUACUUCUGCUAGUACUCUUCAGAAAGUUCCUUGUCAUCUAAGCUUCCCCUAUGGGAUGGCAAUUAAGAUGGAGACAAACUGACCAAUUCUACUUCUGCCAGUGUUCCCAAGACUUCUCUCUGACCCCAGAAGCUCACCCCUACAAGGAGGCAAUGAUGAUAGAUACUGCUGUCGUUUCACCCAGUUUUAGCAAUGGUCAACAGCCAAGUAUCAAUUUGUUUUCCUUUUCAGAGUUUUCUCAGCAAGCAAGCAAAGGGUUAAAAUAGUUUUUGUCAGGGAUUUUGUUUUUUUCCCUUGGAUUCUUGUUGGGUCAUUUUCAUCCCUUUAAGAAGAGAUGUUUCAAGAUGUUUCAAGGGCUUUUUCGGAUGGAUAGAGAUGGUGAAGACCAUGUUUCUAUGGUUUGAGGAAAGGCAAGGGUUGUUUUCCAGAUUAGAAUCUUAAAUGCUACAUUAUUUCAUAUAUUGGGCACCUUGUUCUUGCGGUAGAAAAUUAUUUCCAGAGGCA